AAACACUGAAUUAGCUGUCCCUUGGCGUAGCUUUAACAAGGUACUUGGUCGAGUGAGAUUGGGAUGUACAGUACCGGGAGGAUAUUCGAUGUGAUGGCUGGGCUUUUAAAUUGGAAACUCAAAAAAACAAUCAUUGUGCUAUACUUCAACUAGGUAUAGGUACUAUAUCUGUAAACCGCAGAACUUACGCACUUUCUCGUUAUUCCGAGCCCUGAUAAUAUAAUAUUAGAUCGGUCGCUUACGCGGGGAAGUGAAUGCGUCACAAAAGGCUCUGCGAUUAUCGGUGUUCAAUAAAAAAAAAAUUAAUUGCGUGACGUCCGUCAUGACAAUAUAAUACCGGCGAAACGAAAAGUUCCAAUUAAUAUUGUCGGCGGUGAUGACUUGCCUUUU